UGGGGAAUUUUGCACAAUGGGGGAAACCCUGAUGCAGCGACGCCGCGUGAUUUAGAAGGCCUUCGGGUUGUAAAAAUCUUUUUUAUGGGAUGAAAAUGACAGUACCAUAAGAAUAAGGUCCGGCUAAAUACGUGCCAGCAGCCGCGGUAAUACGUAUGGACCGAGCGUUGUCCGGAAUCAUUGGGCGUAAAGGGUACGUAGGCGGCCCAGUAAGUUAGAAGUGAAAUAAUAUAGCUCAACUAUAUAAAGCUUUUAAAACUGCUAGGCUUGAGAGAUGGAAGGGAAAGUGGAAUUCCUAGUGUAGCGGUGAAAUGCGCAGAUAGUAGGAAGCAUACCGGUGGCGAAGGCGACUUUCUGGUCAUCAUCUGACGCUGAGGUACGAAAGCGUGGGUAGCAAACAGG
rnacentral:rRNA from 1 species